GAUGAACGCUGGCGGCGUGCCUAACACAUGCAAGUCGAACGGGAUGCGUAUCGGAAAGCUUCGGCUGGAAGAUGCGUUAUCUAGUGGCGGACGGGUGAGUAACACGUGGGUAACCUGCCUUAUGGAGGGGGAUAACAGAGAGAAAUCACUGCUAAUACCGCAUAAGCACACAGUACCGCAUGGUACAGGGUGAAAAGAUUUAUCGCCAUAAGAUGGACCCGCGUCUGAUUAGCCAGUUGGCAGGGUAAAAGCCUACCAAAGCAACGAUCAGUAGCCGAUCUGAGAGGAUGACCGGCCACAUUGGGACUGAGACACGGCCCAAACUCCUACGGGAGGCAGCAGUGGGGAAUAUUGCACAAUGGGGGAAACCCUGAUGCAGCGACGCCGCGUGAGUGAAGAAGUAUUUCGGUAUGUAAAGCUCUAUCAGCAGGGAAGAUAAUGACAGUACCUGACUAAGAAGCCCCGGCUAACUACGUGCCAGCAGCCGCGGUAAUACGUAGGGGGCAAGCGUUAUCCGGAUUUACUGGGUGUAAAGGGAGCGUAGACGGAGUGGCAAGUCUGAAGUGAAAACCCUGGGCUUAACCUAGGGACUGCUUUGGAAACUGUUAAUCUAGAGUGUUGGAGAGGUAAGUGGAAUUCCUGGUGUAGCGGUGAAAUGCGUAGAUAUCAGGAAGAACACCGGAGGCGAAGGCGGCUUACUGGACAAUAACUGACGUUGAGGCUCGAAAGCGUGGGGAUCAAACAGG
rnacentral:rRNA from 1 species